ACAAUAAGGCGAGCUUAUAGAUGUCCAGGCCUUAUCUCCAGCUCGAGCAAAGGCUAGCUUACACCAAUGGCUAUAGAUUAUCAUGAUGGCGAAGUCUUUGUCUGCAUCAGGAGCUGUCUAGUGAAUUAAUUUGAGCCAUAAAGAUAACAUGUUUUGUUCUCUUUCCGGGAUGAAGUUGAUGAUUUGUCUUUCAAAAUUACAAACAUCUCCGAUAAAUGGUAAGGUUAGCACCGAAAUGUAUUGAUCCAAAAUCGCUAAUCCUCGUUUGGAGCUGAGCAACAUAUGAAAUGUGUUCUAUGCAUUAGAGCCUGAGAUUUCCAUGAAAAUUAAUUGUGAGAGCAUGUGUGAGUAGGUUUUGCAAGCCGAUAAUGACAAAGCUGAGGCCACCUCCAGCCAAGCCACAGCCUUCUCCAACUGAGACACCACCAGCUCAACCUCAAACCGCUGAGCAGCAGCAGGUAACCGAUGGGAGCAGUCCGACACCGCCUACAACAGCUUCCGAGCCGAUGGACACUGACAAAUCGGGGGGUGAACCUGCAGCGUGAAGCGCCUCUUGAUAUUAUGAUGUGAUAGUUUAAAAGUAAUAAGGGAUCAUACAAUUU
rnacentral:lncRNA from 1 species